UUGCUUUGGCAGCACAGAUAGUAAAAUUAGAACGAUACAGAGAAGAUUAGCAUGGCACCUGUGCAAGGGUGACAUGCAAAUUCACGAAGCAUUCCAUAUGUUU
rnacentral:snRNA from 1 species